rnacentral:rRNA from 1 species
GAUGAACGCUAGCUACAGGCUUAACACAUGCAAGUCGAGGGACCGGCGCACGGGUGAGUAACACGUAUCCAACCUGCCCUUUACUCGGGGAUAGGCUUUCGAAUGAAAGAUUAAUACCCGAUAUAAAGGAUGGUGAUGCGUUCCAUUAGGUUGUUGGUGAGGUAACGGCCCAACAAGCAUUCGAGGGGUAGGGGUUCUGAGAGGAAGGUCCCCGACAUUGGAACUGAGACACGGUCCAAACUCCUACGAGAGGCAGCAGUUAGGAAGAUUGGUCAAAGGGCGUGAGCAUGAACCAGCCAAGUAGCGGGAAGGAUGAAGGCUUAUGGGUCGUAAACUUCUUUUAUAUAAGAAUAUGUAUUAUAUUAAUAAGGUACGGCUAACUCCGUGCCAGCAGCCGCGGUAAUUC